ACUCUGCCGGGAAGCUGUCGAGGCGCUCUCUGCAGCAGGCCUGGUCGAUGAAGACAGCAACAAAGGCCGCCUGCGACCCACCGGUGCUGGUCUCCUAAUGACACGGCAGUGCAUCUCGCUGGACACCAUGCGGCGCUUCUCGGGCCUCGGCGGGAAACUGUCGGUUGCCGACCUGCUGGGGUCGCUGAGCAGCUGCUCGGAGUACGCGGACAUCCAGCUGCGCAACAACGAGAAGGCGGCGCUGAACGCACUCAACGGCAGCCGUCGCAAGCCUGGAAUACGG